rnacentral:rRNA from 1 species
CGAGAAAAACUUUAGCAAUGUGCGAAAAGACGUGAUAAGGAGACCCCUCCGUGCUUAUCUAACGAUAGGCUUUUGUUUAAGAUUAGUGCUCUUAACGAAUAAGUGGUGGGCAAGACUGGUGCCAGCAGCCGCGGUAAUACCAGCGCCACAAGUGGAAAUCAUGUUUAUUGGGUCUAAAGUGUUCGUAGCCGGCUAGGUAAGUCUCUUGUGAAAGUUUUGUAGCUUAACUCAAAAUUUGCAAGAGAUACUGCCUAACUUGAGACCGGGAGAGGUGUGAGGUAUUAUUUGGGUAGCGGUAAAAUGCUAUAAUCCUUUUAAGACCAACUAAUGCGAAGGCAUCAUACUGGAACGGAUCUGACGGUGAGGAACGAGAGCUAGGGGAGCGAACCGGAUUAGAUACCCGGGUAGUCCUAGCCGUAAACGCUGCGGGUUACGCUUUGCUGAAUCUACG